rnacentral:pre_miRNA from 11 species
CUUAACCUACCCUGUAGAUCCGGGCUUUUGUAGAGUAGCAUGGGUGUCCCCAAAACACCUCAGAAGCUCGUUUCUACAGGUAUCUCAAGG